UGGGGAAUAUUGGACAAUGGGCGGAAGCCUGAUCCAGCCAUGCCGCGUGUGUGAAGAAGGCCUUUUGGUUGUAAAGCACUUUAGGCGAGGAGGAGGCUCUUCUAGUUAAUACCUAGGAUGAGUGGACGUUACCGACAGAAUAAGCACCGGCUAACUCUGUGCCAGCAGCCGCGGUAAUACAGAGGGUGCGAGCGUUAAUCGGAUUUACUGGGCGUAAAGCGUGCGUAGGCGGCUAAUUGAGUCGGAUGUGAAAUCCCCGAGCUUAACUUGGGAAUUGCAUUCGAUACUGGUUAGCUAGAGUGUGGGAGAGGAUGGUAGAAUUCCAGGUGUAGCGGUGAAAUGCGUAGAGAUCUGGAGGAAUACCGAUGGCGAAGGCAGCCAUCUGGCCUAACACUGACGCUGAGGUACGAAAGCAUGGGGAGCAAACAGG
rnacentral:rRNA from 1 species